UCAAAUUUAAUACUGUCCAUUAUACAGUGACCCACUUCUAACCUACUGUACAGCAGAGCGACAUCCACUUACCCACCUUUUUAAUUUUAAAUAUACCUACAGAUAACUUUAACAUUAUGGAAUGAAUUUGCGACUAAUUUCAUGGGCAAACUAAAUACCAAAAUAACCUUACGGACUACCAAAAUUAGUGACUACAAAAAUCAAAGAUAUUUAAAAUUGAAUCGACAAUCAAUAGUUUCCUAUGACGUAGACAAAACAACUAACAUAGAAUUUGAAGAAUGGUUUAAUAGAAAAUAUAAUAAAGGAUGAUUAUUUGAUGAUGUGAAAGGGCAUGAUAUGCCAUAACAUGAUAUUACACUUCUGGAAAAAAAAAAAAAAUAUUUAAUAAAUAACUUUUCAAUUUUC